rnacentral:rRNA from 1 species
CGAUGCGGAGCGAAAUUUAGUAGCGAAGUAGCUGAUUUCACACUGUCGAGAAAAGUCUCUAUCGAGGUUAAAGGUGCCUGUACCGCAAACCGACACAGGUGGGUGAGGAGAGUAUCCUAAGGCCAGCGAGAGAACUGUUGUUAAGGAACUCGGCAAAAUGACCCCGUAACUUCGGGAGAAGGGGUGCCUUCGAAAGAAGGCCGCAGAGAAUAGGCCCAAGCGACUGUUUACCAAAAACAUAGGUUUCUGCUAAGUCGCAAGACGAUGUAUAGGAGCUGACGCCUGCCCGGUGCUGGAAGGUUAAGGUGAUCUGUUAGAGCAAUCGAAGCAGUGAACUUAAGCCCCAGUAAACGGCGGCCGUAACAAUAACGGUCCUAAGGUAGCGAAAUUCCUUGUCGGGUAAGUUCCGACCCGCACGAAAGGCGUAACGAUUUGGGCACUGUCUCAACAACAGACUCGGUGAAAUUGUAAUACCGGUGAAGAUGCCGGUUACCUGCGACAGGACGGAAAGACCCCAUGGAGCUUUACUGUAGCUUGACAUUGAGUCUCGGUGCUACAUGUACAGGAUAGGUGGGAGACUAUGAAGCAUGGACGUCAGUCUGUGUGGAGUCAUCCUUGGGAUACCACCCUUGUAGUACUGGGAUUCUAACCAGAGGCCUUGAAUCUGGUCUUGGGACACUGUCAGGUGGACAGUUUGACUGGGGCGGUCGCCUCCCAAAAAGUAACGGAGGCGCUCAAAGGUUCUCUCAGUACGGUCGGAAAUCGUACGAAGAGUGUAAAGGCAAAAGAGAGCUUGAUUGCAAGACAUACAGGUCGAGCAAGGACGAAAGUCGGACUUAGUGAUCCGGUGGUUCCGCAUGGAAGGGCCAUCGCUCAACGGAUAAAAGCUACCCUGGGGAUAACAGGCUGAUCUCCCCCAAGAGUCCACAUCGACGGGGAGGUUUGGCACCUCGAUGUCGGCUCAUCACAGCCUGGGGCUGUAGUAGGUCCCAAGGGUUGGGCUGUUCGCCCAUUAAAGUGGUACGCGAGCUGGGUUCAGAACGUCGUGAGACAGUUCGGUCCCUAUCCGUCGCAGGCGUAGGAAAUUUGAGGAGACCUGUCCUUAGUACGAGAGGACCGGGAUGGACGUACCGCUGGUGUACCAGUUGUUCUGCCAAGGGCAUGGCUGGGUAGCUAAGUACGGAAAGAAUAAGCGCUGAAAGCAUCUAAGCGCGAAGCCCA